UGGGGCGUCGUCUAAAGGCAGGACACAGGCUUUUGGAGCCUGGCAUGGGGGUUCGAUUCCUCCCGCCCCAG
rnacentral:tRNA from 1 species